GACGAACGCUGGCGGCGUGCUUAACACAUGCAAGUCGAACGAUGAAGCUGGAGCUUGCUCCGGUGGAUUAGUGGCGAACGGGUGAGUAACACGUGAGCAAUCUGCCCUCGACUCUGGGAUAACUGCGGGAAACUGUAGCUAAUACCGGAUACUUUCACUGGAAGGCAUCUUCUGGUGAAGAAAGAAUUUCGGUCAAGGAUGAGCUCGCGGCCUAUCAGCUGGUUGGUGAGGUAACGGCUCACCAAGGCGACGACGGGUAGCCGGCCUGAGAGGGUGACCGGCCACACUGGGACUGAGACACGGCCCAGACUCCUACGGGAGGCAGCAGUGGGGAAUAUUGCACAAUGGGCGCAAGCCUGAUGCAGCAACGCCGCGUGAGGGAUGAAGGCCUUCGGGUUGUAAACCUCUUUUAGCAGGGAAGAAGCGAAAGUGACGGUACCUGCAGAAAAAGCACCGGCUAACUACGUGCCAGCCGCCGCGGUAA
rnacentral:rRNA from 1 species